rnacentral:rRNA from 1 species
UGGGGAAUAUUGGACAAUGGGCGAAAGCCUGAUCCAGCCAUGCCGCGUGUGUGAAGAAGGUCUUCGGAUUGUAAAGCACUUUAAGUUGGGAGGAAGGGCAGUAAGCGAAUACCUUGCUGUUUUGACGUUACCGACAGAAUAAGCACCGGCUAACUCUGUGCCAGCAGCCGCGGUAAUACAGAGGGUGCAAGCGUUAAUCGGAAUUACUGGGCGUAAAGCGCGCGUAGGUGGUUCGUUAAGUUGAAUGUGAAAGCCCCGGGCUCAACCUGGGAACUGCAUCCAGAACUGGCGAGCUAGAGUAGGGCAGAGGGUGGUGGAAUUCCAGGUGUAGCGGUGAAAUGCGUAGAGAUCUGGAGGAAUACCGAUGGCGAAGGCAGCCAUCUGGCCUAACACUGACGCUGAGGUACGAAAGCAUGGGGAGCAAACAGG